CUUUCCCCCUGCCAUCAAGUCUCUCCAAUUUCUGUCUGCCGUGGAUUUCUCUCACUCUUGUCUUUCUUGCAAAAAUUCACGAGAAUGGUUUGCAACGUUUGCAAAAUCGUAGGCGUAUCUGCUACCUGGUGUGAGACAUACAUGCGCGAUCUGCAAGGAUUCACCCUUUUAAAGAUGAUGCGGUUUCCACGGCGACGACGAGGGAGCACACUGGGGAGGGUGACGUCGUAUUGUCAAGGUCUCUGAAAGAGCUGUGGGGUCUCUACUUCUGACAGCUUGACAGACCCGGGACACUGCGAGAUGCUUUUGGACAUGAUGAGGGUCAGAACCAAUAGGUGUGACCGGAGUGAGGCGCCCCCGUCAAACGUGAGAACUCCAAGAAUUGUUUGUCUUGAAGAAGGAGGAGCUACAUGUAACCGUGCGGCUGGUGAAACCAACUCAAACUCUUGUGUUUAGCAUUUCAGGUGGCAGAGCUAAUUAUAACUCUCUGUUGUUAGCAGGUGGGCAAUCAAACCAGUUUUGACCCCCAGUAUAUAUAUAUAUGGUCAGUAUAUUUGAUUGUAAGAGCUGAGGCUGCCCGAGUUGUGCCUCUGCACUUAAAGUUAACAUAUUAUACCACCAGGUGCGAGUAUGAUUAGCCGUUACAAGCCGUUUUGAAAAUGUGCCUCUUCUGACAUCACAAGUGGGCGUGUCCACCUAGAUGUAUGACGGAUAGAUGAGCAACGGCUUG
ensembl:lncRNA